UUCAGGACAAAAUGUUAUUCCCCACUGAUCAGUGAGGAAACAAGGGCAGAGAAGUGGAGUGACUUGCCCAUGUCUGCACAAUGAAGUAAUGGCAUAAAUGGGUUGAGAACCAAAGUCUCCCAGCAUUGGGCAUUUCCCUCCACUUCCCAAAGCCUUCAUUUUCCAGAUGAAUCUUUUGAACUGUGUUUCCAUAGGCAGCAAAGGAUUCCCAUUUACACCUUUGAUUGAUUCUGGGAAGAUUGGAGAGGACCAAGCACACAGUCCUACACAGGUCCAACCCAUCAGGUUGGCAUCAUUAGCUUGAUACUUCAAGACCUGGGUUGAUCCAGCCACCAAUAGAAGGGGAGACUUAAACCACACAGUCCUUCCCAGGUCUGCACUGCCCUUCCCGCAUCCCUCGCUGCAGAUGGUUCCUAUGAAUGUGGCGUUUGAGUGAGAUAAGAGCGGACAGAUGAAAUGCCUAUCACUGUUGUUUACUGCCAGCUCUCUGCUCCCACGUGUAGAUCUUUGGCUGAGUCAAUGUUUAACCACUGUCUGUAGUCAAUGUUUAAUCCCAGGCCAGCCAGCACUGAAAUCCAGCAUUCUUCAGUAAACUAAUAAUAUAGUCAUUUUAGUAUCAAUCAUUGGAAAAUAGAAUUGUGACAGUGAAUCUACCAACGCUACAUAACAAGCCCCCACGCCUUUUCUGAAGAAUAUUGACAGGGAUUAUCCAGGCCCAAGUAGCUCCAUCCUCACCACCAGCAGGGUUCAGGGUCCCACUCCGGGACAGUCAUGGUGGCCUGGAUAGGAGGACAGUCAUCCUGGAGUAUCUUCCUUUCCACACGGGGCAGCUGGUCUGGCUGGAAAUGUGUCAUCUGAAUCAAGAUGUCACCUCCAGAAGCCACUCAGCCCCAAACAAGAGAAUGGAGCAAUGCCCUGGGCUCAGGUUAUAUUCCAUCCUCCUUCAGGCAACUUACAACACCUCCUCCUCACGCAUGGCCCUACAAGAUGGGACCAGUCAGCAGCCUGCCUUCUUCAAAUCCUGCUGGAUGCAUAGAAGAGACACAGCAGCACCCACUUCUGGCUCUUGGGCAGGUGUAACAUUCCUCGUUGUGAGGAAGGCCUUAUCAGAGGGGAUCAACAGAAGCUUGAUAUGAAGGCCAGGGUCCAAAGUCACCCCAUGCUUCUGAAGGACAAGGGGCUCCUCACUAAUGCUGCUUCCUGCUCCUGCUUUCCCUGAACGGAAUCCAAGCUGUUUGCAGAGGAAAGAGGCUGCCAAGGGCUGGCCUGGAUCUAGGAGACACACAGUGGGCCGUCCAAGUCCUCCAUUUCAUGAGUGAGAUGAAGUGACUCACUGAAGGUCCAAAGCUUUGCCAGGAUUCCACCCUGCUUCAGAUUAUUUUGAACUCUGGAUACAUGGCAAGCGGUGAAUAAGAACAACCAUCCAGACAGGCAAUGAACAAGAGGGAACGGCAGCCUGGAAUUAGAACACUGCCUGUUUUCACCUCACUUGUGUGCUAAGUCAGUGAUGAUGACGGAAUCAUGAUUUGGUUGAAGUUGAGUCACCUGGAGGGUGUGCCAAAGCCAAGUUGUUACUUUAGACUUUUAUUCCUAGCAAGAUCUCUCCCAUUUAUUCUCCGAGCUGGGUCAUGUGACCUCUUAGAUUCCAACCCUUUCUACAUUUGCUCCCUUGGAGAAGGAAGGAAUAAGACUCAGAAGACAACACUAUCAUUUGUGGAGUAUCUAUGCUGUGUCAAGCACUGAGCUUUACUUAAUUUAUAUUAUUUAUUCCUCUCCACAAUCUUGAAAGGAUGAUAUUAUUCCCAUGUUACAGAUGAGAACUAUGAGGUUCAAACAGUUCUGGGUUCCCUGAUUAGUAAGUGAUGGAGGUUGAACAGAGCCCAAAUCUGUAUGCUCCAGUUACACACCUAAGGCAAAGACUUGGGAUCAUUUGCAUUCCUCCUUAGAUUCUGUCCAUCUCCCAGGUUUCUGCCUCCUCCAGUUUAUAUUCUGAUAGUAUGAUCCUUUUCUUCCUACACGUAUGAUCAUGGACCAAAGGAUGGAGUGAUUCACUCAUAUACUUACACAUAUUGUAGAUUCUGAAGUCUUUACAUCAAGCUCUAACUCAUAAUAUCAAACAGGGCCUGCUCUCCAGGCUUUCACUUGCCCUUCGUAUGAACAAGAAAUAAACACCAACUUUUGCACACCUGUCCAUCCCCAGGUUUCAGGGUGGCCUCUGUCAGACCACACUUACCAUUAUGAAGGGAGGCUCUUGAGACAUGCCUGGACCCAUUCCCUGACCUAUGUGUAGGAUGAUGCAUAGGCCUGCCCCACCGAGUCACAGUGCAGAGCUCCCAGAGUAGCACCUGAGUGGUGAUUCACAGGAGCAGCUGCCAAUAUAUCUGAGGGCACAGACCCCACGUGCCAGGCUGAGGAGAGGCCAGCUCCUGUAUUUAGCAGAUGAUUGGAUCCCAGCAGCAGCAAGACUGUAGCAGAGAUACAAGGCCAAAUGGAAGUAGAGUUGUCACUUUGGUUUUUAAAAUCAAAUGACUGGACUUUACACACUGCCACCCAAAAUCCUCCAAAAAGGGAUAAAAAUAACCCUGAUGCCACUCUCACCUCCCACCCAAUCUGUUUAAGCUAAAUGAAGAACAAUCCUGUACGGAUACAGGAGGAAGAUAAAAUUGCACAGGUGGGUCCAACAUCACCUUCCGGAUGGCAGAUGUCCUCACUGGGAUCCUUUUGUCUAUCUUCAAAAUGAGGACAACUGUGUUUAGACUUACGAUUCUAUUCUUAAGUCUCAUAAGACGGUCUUAUGAGAGAAACAUCUUAUGAGAGAAACAUGCUCUUUGAAGGACAAGGACACUGGGAGCAUGGUAUCAUUAAAUAACAAGGGAGGGGAGCCUCUCAAAUUAAGAAAAUUGGGGAAAUGGGCAUGCUGGUAGGAUAAGGACGCAGAGUGGGAAGGCUGGCUGUGUGUAACUCUGUUUUGUCCGGAGAGAAAUGACCUCUAUCAGGGAGUGGGGAUUUCACAGGAAAUACCCCUGACCAACCUGUGUUGGUCAGACUUACACUGAUGUCAGGGCCCCAGAUUCCUUCCAAGUCUUACUUUACAACUAGGCCCAAGUUUCCCAAUUUAUCAGGGCAAUUAAAAAGUAAAGUGAUUGUGCCUCUGGUUGUGUGCUGAAAUACACAUGAUGCAGCUCAGCUGUGUCCACUCAGUCCUCCAGGAGGGGCCUUCCUUCUUUUGGGGAGUCUGUAAUAAGACUUGGCUUGGCUAGUUGUGGGAGUCUCUGUCAGCUGUGACAGACCAGGUUAUCACCCAGGGCCAGAAAUAAGGCACCAGGCUUUUGGGUGUGUGUGUGUGAGAGUGUACACAGAAACCGUCACACCCACACCCCACAUACCAUACCAGGGUGGAGCGAGCCACUUGUCCUUACCUUCACCUUCUCAUCAUGUUCAGAAAUACUGAGCUUUGACAUUGCUGGGUCCCUAAGGACGCAGGCCAGAAAUGCCCGACCGACUUAAAAGGUAACUUUCCGACAAGUUACAUUUAUCUUCCUCUCAAAUUUGGGGAUCCUGGACUCCAACCAGGUCGCAGCCAUGAAUAGCAUUUAUUUCCUCAGAGGAAGCAGGGGUCUCGUCAUGUCUAGUCAUGUCUGAUCUCCAAGCUUGUAUUCACAAGACCACACUACCCACUCAUUGGCAUUUUCUCAAGUUGCACAACUUGGUCAGGGAAUUUGGGGUUAAUAAUGGGUUACUGUAUUGCUUCUUUCCAAAGGUGAAAUAAAAAGCCACAACACUAAAUAUGACAUGAACAUUUAAUGUCUGAUGCUUCAGAAGAUACUGUAGGAUAUUGGAGGGCCUGAGGGUUGAGCCCCGGGUAGUGAGCACUGAUCCUUGCGGCACAGUGUGGAUGUACAGUACUGCCUGGGGGGAGGCAGCGUGCAACCUGGAAUGAGGAUCAGGAGCCCAGCUCUGGUCCCUUCUCUGCACUAAGCAGCAGGUCCCUUCCCUUCCCCAGUAGGUUUGGAUUAGAGCAUCUCUAAGGCCCCUCACAGUUCUGAUAUUCUAUGAAUAACUAGCAGAGAAUAUAUCGGGUUCAUUUUCCAUUGGCACUGAGGAAGUUAAAAACUACUUGCAAUGGUGUGGACAAGGCCUGAAACACUUCUUUGAUACUUACAAAGCCUCUGGGCUCAGGCUCCCAUCUCAGUGUGGGCCCAGCCCUGGGGUCAGGCACGUGCAGACUGAGAGAGGGAGCAUGAAGAACAGGAAUAAGGGAACCAGGGACCACCACACAGUUUGUUAUUGAAUUUAUAAAGCCCAUGGACAAGGACCCUCUUCAGUGGAGGUGUGCUGUGUGGUCACUUAUCUUGUCUUCUCACUAAGAAGCUUUGCUGCUCUCAGUCAACCAAGAGGUUUUAGUUACAGGAAUGUGUCCUGCCCUUGGGAUGGGGGCCAGUGAGAAGGCAGCAGGUGAGGAGACAACCAACCAAGUCCUCUUGGCCUCAGGCCCCCAUCCAGAAGGCCAGAUGGAGAGACGGAUCCAGCAAGGUAUGAGCCAGUCUCCACCGAUGGCAGGGAUUCUGGGAGACCCACAUUUCAUGUGAUGCUGCAUUUACCUCAGGUCACACUGACACCUC